rnacentral:rRNA from 1 species
UGGGGAAUAUUGGACAAUGGGGGGAACCCUGAUCCAGCCAUGCCGCGUGUGUGAAGAAGGCCUUAUGGUUGUAAAGCACUUUAAGCGAGGAGGAGGGUACUGGUAUUAAUACUACCAGGUACUGGACGUUACUCGCAGAAUAAGCACCGGCUAACUCUGUGCCAGCAGCCGCGGUAAUACAGAGGGUGCGCGCGUUAAUCGGAUUUACUGGGCGUAAAGCGUGCGUAGGCGGCUAAUUGAGUCGGAUGUGAAAUCCCCGAGCUUAACUUGGGAAUUGCAUUCGAUACUGGUUAGCUAGAGUGUGGGAGAGGAUGGUAGAAUUCCAGGUGUAGCGGUGAAAUGCGUAGAGAUCUGGAGGAAUACCGAUGGCGAAGGCAGCCAUCUGGCCUAACACUGACGCUGAGGUACGAAAGCAUGGGGAGCAAACAGG